AGAGUUUGAUCCUGGCUCAGGAUGAACGCUAGCUACAGGCUUAACACAUGCAAGUCGAGGGGAAACGACAUCGAAAGCUUGCUUUUGAUGGGCGUCGACCGGCGCACGGGUGAGUAACGCGUAUCCAACCUGCCCACCACUUGGGGAUAACCUUGCGAAAGUAAGACUAAUACCCAAUGACGUCUCUAGAAGACAUCUGAAGGAGAUUAAAGAUUUAUCGGUGAUGGAUGGGGAUGCGUCUGAUUAGCUUGUUGGCGGGGUAACGGCCACCAAGGCGACGAUCAGUAGGGGUUACUGAGAGGAAGGUCCCCCACAUUGGAACUGGGACACGGUCCGAAACUCCUACGGGAGGCAC
rnacentral:rRNA from 1 species